GACGGAGGAUGCAAGCGUUAUCCGGAAUGAUUGGGCGUAAAGCGUCCGCAGGUGGCAGUUCAAGUCUGCUGUCAAAGACCGGGGCUUAACUUCGGAAAGGCAGUGGAAACUGAACAGCUAGAGUAUGGUAGGGGCAGAGGGAAUUCCUGGUGUAGCGGUAAAAUGCGUAGAGAUCAGGAAGAACAUCGGGGGCGAAGGCGCUCUGCUGGACCAUAACUGACACGCAGGGACGAAAGCUAGGGGAGCGAAUGGG
rnacentral:rRNA from 1 species